AACGAACGCUGGCGGCAGGCCUAACACAUGCAAGUCGAGCGAAGCCUUCGGGCUUAGCGGCGGACGGGUGAGUAACGCGUGGGAACGUGCCCUUUGGUACGGAAUAGCCCCGGGAAACUGGGAGUAAUACCGUAUGUGGUCGAGAGACGAAAGAUUUAUCGCCAAAGGAUCGGCACGCGUUGGAUUAGGUAGUUGGUGGGGUAAUGGCCUACCAAGCCGACGAUCCAUAGCUGGUUUGAGAGGAUGAUCAGCCACACUGGGACUGAGACACGGCCCAGACUCCUACGGGAGGCAGCAGUGGGGAAUCUUAGACAAUGGGGGAAACCCUGAUCUAGCCAUGCCGCGUGAUCGAUGAAGGCCUUAGGGUUGUAAAGAUCUUUCAGUGGGGAAGAUAAUGACUGUACCCACAGAAGAAGCCCCGGCUAACUCCGUGCCAGCAGCCGCCGCGGUAA
rnacentral:rRNA from 1 species